rnacentral:rRNA from 1 species
UGAGAGUCGUGGACAUGAGCCGCGGGAAUACAGAGUGUGGAAGCGUUAAGCGGAGGUACUUGGCGUAAAGGUGGAGUAGGCUGUUGGAUAAGUGUGAUGUGAAAUCCCUGGGCUUAACCUAGGAACUGCAAAUUAUACUGUAUGACUAGAGUAUUGUAGAGGGUAGUGGAAUUUCCGGUGUAGCGGUGAAAUGCGUAGAGAUCGGAAGGAACACCAGUGGCGAAGGCGGCUACCUGGACAAAUACUGACGCUGAGGCGCGAAAGCGUGGGGAUCAAACAGGAUUAGAUACCCUAGUAGUC